AGAGAAGGGGGGAGGAGGGAGAGAACGUGAGAUGCUGGCAGGGAGGAGCGGGCGGCAGGAGGGCCAGGUGAGUAUUCAAGAGGAGGGGGUGAGUCCUCGCCGCCGUCCUCUGCUGCGUGUCCUCUGCACGCGGUCCCGGCUGCUGCAGGCAGCCCUCUAAACACACACAGGGCUCCCCCGACUCUGCCCCCCUCCCCUCUCAGCCCCACCAGGCCCCGCCCACACCACACCUGACACUUCUCCUUCCUCCAUUCCAGCCCUCUGCCCACAACUUCGAAGGAAACCCUAAAUCACCUUGGGGUCAAGUGACAGGAGACCGGCACUGGGGCCGUGGUGCUCGGGGAAAUCAUGUCUCCAAAACCUGCCCCACCUUCAGGCAGAAAGUUUGGGAAAGCUGCAGAGGCUUCCAUGAUUGUGGACCCCCAAAGCACCACGGGGGGCUGCUUGGACCAUAAACCCUCCAGAAAUAAUCAAGAAGAGGUCAUCCUCUAGCCAUCCUCACACCAUCCAGAUGGGCCAUCCAGACUGAGAUGCCCACGGCUUGUCUGGCCUCCUGAGAACUUCGUGAGGCCGCCCAGCAACCCACAAAGUAGGUGGCAGAACUGUCCUGGUUCGCUCCAACUCAAGAAAUCCUUACUGCUGGGAACGUGCAAGAUUCCCCCUCCAACCCAGACAGAAAAAGAAUCUCCUUAAGAACAAGAAACCCGCGCCAGAGUGACCCACAAGGGGACAAGGGUUCGAGCCCUGGUCCGGGAAGAUCCCACAUGCCGCAG